GGUAGAAUAGGAAAGAUAUUGGAGGUAGGAAGAUAGAAGUGAUAAAAAUAAUCUGGUAACGUAUAAUGGGGGCUUAAGUUACAAUCAGGGCUUCCAUCAGUUUGCUUCUAUCCAUAGCCACUGCCAUCAUUCCAAGCCAAGCCAUUCUCAUUUUUAACUCAGAUGAUGUGCAGUAGCAUAUUAACUGGUCUUCUUGUUUCCACUCUUGUCCACCUCUAACCUAUUAAGCACCCAGCAGCCAGAUUGAGCUUAUGUAA
rnacentral:lncRNA from 1 species